CCCAGACUCCUACGGGAGGCAGCAGUGGGGGAUAUUGCACAAUGGGGGAAACCCUGAUGCAGCGACGCCGCGUGAGUGAAGAAGUAUUUCGGUAUGUAAAGCUCUAUCAGCAGGGACGAAAAUGACGGUACCUGAGUAAGAAGCCCCGGCUAACUACGUGCCAGCAGCCGCGGUAAUACGUAGGGGGCAAGCGUUAUCCGGAUUUACUGGGUGUAAAGGGAGCGUAGACGGCAGCACAAGUCUGGAGUGAAAUGCCGGGGCUUAACCCCGGAACUGCUUUGGAAACUGUGCAGCUAGAGUGCAGGAGAGGUAAGUGGAAUUCCUAGUGUAGCGGUGAAAUGCGUAGAUAUUAGGAGGAACACCAGUGGCGAAGGCGGCUUUCUGGACUGUAACUGACACUGAGGUACGAAAGCGUGGGGAGCAAACAGGAUUAGAUACCCCAGUAUG
rnacentral:rRNA from 1 species